UUUGCAGCAAAAAAUCGACGUCCCGUAUUAAGUUGUGUCCAUGAAGUUUUCAAUUCAGCAUUGACCCCACAUCGACAGAACACAUUUGCAUCUGAAGAAGUUGAAAUCGACAAAUUGGACAUUUCCUUCGCUAUGAAAAAGACGAAUGAAGAAUUUUUUUUUAUCUCCACUGUAGUAGCAACAAUGGUGAGAUGUGGAGAAGAAAG
rnacentral:lncRNA from 1 species